rnacentral:rRNA from 1 species
AGAGUUUGAUCCUGGCUCAGGACUAACGCUGGCGGUAUGCCUUAGACAUGCAAGUCGAACGAGUUUCCGGGCUUGCUCGGAAAUUAGUGGCGAACGGCUGAGUAACGCGUAGGUGACCUACCCCGUAGUGUGGAAUAACUGCCCGAAAGGGUAGCUAAUACCGCAUGUUGAGCCGACAUCGAUGUCGUCUCCAAAGCAGAAAUGCGCUAUGGGCGGGGCCUGCGUUCGAUUAGCUAGUUGGUGAGGUAAUGGCUCACCAAGGCGACGAUCGAUAGGUGGUCUGAGAGGACGAUCACCCAGACUGGGACUGAGACACGGCCCAGACUCCUACGGGAGGCAGCAGUCGGGAAUUUUGCGCAAUGGGGGAAACCCUGACGCAGCAAUACCGCGUGUGGGAUGAAGGCCUUCGGGUCGUAAACCACUUUUCUCGGGGACGAUAAUGACGGUACCCGAGGAAUAAGCCACGGCUAACUACGUGCCAGCAGCCGCGGUAAUACGUAGGUGGCAAGCGUUGUCCGGAAUUAUUGGGCGUAAAGGAUGCGUAGGCGGACAUUUAAGUCAGAUGUGAAAUACCCGAGCUUAACUUGGGUGCUGCAUUUGAAACUGGGUGUCUAGAGUGCAGGAGAGGUAAGUGGAAUUCCUAGUGUAGCGGUGAAAUGCGUAGAGAUUGGGAAGAACAUCGGUGGCGAAGGCGACUUACUGGACUGUAACUGACGCUGCGGCAUGAAAGCGUGGGGAGCAAACAGGAUUAGAAACCAGGGUAGUCCACUCACGUUGG